UAGGAAAGGGGUGGCGACAAACUCGUGAUAAAGGAGAGGAAGAAGGUGUUCUGACGAAGAGAAAGAGGAGGAGAAGGUAGAGGGAGCGGUCGCACUGAGGAGGUACGCUCGUCGAGGGGCUUCGCCACGAGUACUUCGAGGACGAGGGUUGUCGACGCCGCGAACAGGGAGAGGGUGCCUGUAGUAUCCAUCAAACCACCUCGCCACGACGUUGACCACCGCCGCCGCCACCGGUACCCACUCCGGUACCUGCUCAUCUGAUUACCUUCUGCUACGGAGUCACGAUGUUGGACAGUCAAAAAAACGACCUGGUCAAUCCUUUUUUCGACGUUGGUCAACGACGGCGUCGUGGUGGUACCUUAGGUGAGUCAGGUAGGUAGAUCGAGGUAAGGCUGCUUCGCUUUGGAGGUGGGGGCCCCUUCGAAGUUGGUCGACUCGGUCUUCGACGUUGGCAGCAACUUUAAUCGAUGAUAACCGUUCCUUAAAAGAUGUAUGUAGUGCUGUUUCUACGCUGGAUGAUGCCGUCGCCGAAAAAAAAACAACGUUGACAGGAGUUUUUAACCAUGAUGGUCACUACCUAAAACGAUGUAGGUAGUACCGCCUCGAUUCUGGCCACUGCUGUAGCUCUACUUAACAACGUUGGCAGAAACCUAAAAAGAUGAUGGCCGCUCCCAAAAACUAUGUAGGUAGUACCGCCUCUACUCUGGCCGCUGCCGCCGCUCUACUAAAACGACGCUGGCGUCAACUAAAAACGAUGAUGGCGCACAAAACUACCGCUCCCCGCCGCUACUGCGAUUCUCUCGAUGUUGGCUGCGUGCUGCUCUACCUUGACUUCCGUCGUUUACGAUGUUGGUGGGGGUUCUAAAAGGACCUUGGUACCGACACCCACGAUGCAUAAGCCCCUCCCUUUGCUGUGUUACAGUGGCCACGCCGCCACUGCUACUAUUUCCGCUCCCCCUGAUUGGCCGCCGUCCCCUACUCUAUACCUCCACGCCCCAGCGCGUCCUCUACGCACGCCCCCUCACCCAAUUCGUCCUUCUCCACCUCCCUCAAGCGCCCGCACUCCUUCUACUGCUGGCUCAGGUGCUAGGCAAAAAGUACGCUCGUACUAGUUCACCUGGUCUAAGACGCGCCCGGUCUAGACUGUCUGGCGUACGCUGGUAGACUCACGAACCCGGCCGCGUGGCCACGGAUAAUGACCGGGCUAGGGGAUCGUCUCGUAACCUUGACUAGGUGGGUUAACCGUUCGUGCCGAUGAGGUUUAGUCCUCCAAGAUCCAAGCUAGGGACCAAGAGAGCUAAGGAAAAAAAGGAACGAAGAGACAAAAUUUAGCUCGUGUGUGUGCGAGAAAGCAAAGCCCGGUAUAGGUGUACCCGGAGCGUGUCACUCGACGAAGAUCGGACACAUACAAAAAAAGAGAGAGAUACUAAAUUGUAAUAAGCACACAUAACGUAUUAAUGUCUUUUUACGGUAAAAGAAGGUAACGAGUAUUAAUUUAUUGGUACGUAGCCUUAAUUAAUUUGAAAUAUACAUUAUCCGAAUCUUAAAGUAGAUCAAAGUAUUCUACGGUGAAAGUUGGUACAAAUUUUACAAUUUGACCAACAAACAAAUUAAAACGUAUUUACGGUACGAUUUUACUAAAUCAAGUAUUGAUUUAUUGGCAUCGAGGUAAAAUGUAUUUGAAAUAUACAUUUACCCCAUCUUUUUACGGAUCAAAUUGAACCACGUGAGUAGAACGUACAAAUUGUUGAGAUUUUAAUACAAAUCCCGUCUUGUCAUCGAUUAAGCUUAAUACGUAUACUCCAAAAAGGCGUGAACAACAAACAACAAGGCCGGAGUAAAUUUGAACGUAUCUAUCCAUCAAAAGUAUACGAAGUGGGGAACGGUACAAAAUUUUUGUAAAUUAUAAUAACUCAUGUAUUUGCCCUCUCUAGAUUUAUUGACUACAACACAAAGCAGUUAUACGUUGUAUUAAACAUCAUAACAACACACGUGAAACGGUACGGUACGAGGUAAUUUGGCCUGUACGUAGUAUGAACUAACACGUAGUACGGUACAAAUACACUACCAAAAAAUGAUACAACGAACGAAGAAAGGUGCAACGAAGAGAGCAAUCGAAGCCAAAGCAAGGUCUCGACAGUCCUAAGCAAGCUGAUGCAGGCAAACAGCAGAAGUACCUGAGCAAGAAGAAGGAACGCUCUAGAGUCCGUUCUACUGGUAUGGGAUCUUUAGUGAAUAUAGAAAAGAACGAUCAACAAGCGAGAUAACGAAACAGCGCGAUGGAUGGUGAAGGAGAUAGUACGGAGGGUAUAACGGUACAGUUCGGAGAUUGGGUGGAAACAUCGUUUGACAACGAACCGAUGCAAUGGCGAAAACGAGUUGGGGAGAAUAUCGCAACAAUCAACGUCCACUUCGACUUCAAACAAGGUAUAACCUUGUACCAAUACAACCCUAUAAUCUUAUACAGAAUAAAUUAAUUACGUAGAUAUAUGAACCAUUUCCCGCCUUCCGAGCCGGAAUACGGAACACAAAACAAGGAGAGAACGGCGGGAUCAAAGGCAGUAUGGCCACAAUACAAGGAACUAAAACACAAGGAAUGCACCAACCCACAAUACCCUUGGGGAACUGUCAAGCGAAACUUGUUUUGAGGAGGUCGUUCCGGGUUGGAACCAAAUUUAAACGGAGUGGUGGUGGAUGAAAAGGGUAACCCUCAGCGCGAGGGCUCCCAGUAGAAAUAAAAUUGGGGGGCCCCGGUCACGAAGAGAUUCACAAACAGGUUGGGCCCGCUACAGGCCGCGGGGGACCCUUUGGUCCCAGAUACGGUUGAGUUACAGAACGGGUAGGCCACACGGGACUCUUGCUCUAUACACGUCGAGGAUAGCCCUAAACAGCCGUGUAAGUCCGCCGAAACGACCAGAACAAAAUGGUAACAGCUUUACAGAACAUUGGCCCUAAGGCUCAUACUAGCCCAGAAGGACCCUCUUCCUUAUAGGAAGCAACUGGCACUCUCAAACACUACCCGCUUCACCCCUGUGGGGAUGUCCCAAAACUUGAAAGUUUUCGGCACGAGCGCCAAUACCUUUCUACCCUUAAACAAUUACAGGCCAACAUCUCUUGAACUUUGAAUUGAAUUAAUUUUACGUAGUUGGCGCACAUAUCGGCACUACCGGAGAAAGGCCACCUCAGGCCCUUCACUUGUGCCAAGAACACAAUACGAAGUUGCAUUCAUCUAAGUCCUAGUGAAGAACUAGUGAAGAUCAAGUGCUUGCACGAAAAGAAGAGAAGAGCGAGAAUAAACGCAUUCAAUCGGUGGUAUAUACGAUCACGAACGACGUCGAGGUGGAGUGAUGGGGAAAGGAUGGGUAUUCGAAUUUAUCAGAACUAGAGCGCCCACACUAUAACGACUCAGGAACACCGAGUGUCUAUGAAGGUUUGUCAACGUCCACGGCUACUAUGGUCACGUCCACUGUGUUGGCUCGAGUUCACCCUCGGGCUACUUCUAGCACAAGCAACACAACAAAGCAAAGGUCAACUAGUCAUCAACUCGGGUCAGCCCUGCUAGUCCCUAGAUCGUAAACCCCAACAGAAAUAAAUACAACCAAGGCAUCAGCCUGGAACAAACAUAAGACCAACUACAUACGAUAUAAAUACAUAACACACUUCACCGCUAACAUUGGUUGAUAAAUAGGGAAAGAAUAAGUUAUGUACCCUACACAUUUCUAAUGGGGAGAACGCUGUACGGAUGGUACACCAAUACAGAGAUACAACACGGGGCUG
rnacentral:rRNA from 1 species